UACGUAGGGUGCGAGCGUUGUCCGGAAUCAUUGGGCGUAAAGAGCGCGUAGGCGGCCAGAUAAGUCCGGUGUGAAAGUCAAAGGCUCAACCUUUGAAUGCCGCUGGAAACUGUCUGGCUAGAGUCCGGAAGAGGUGAGUGGAAUUCCUAGUGUAGAGGUGAAAUUCGUAGAUAUUAGGAAGAACACCAGUGGCGAAGGCGGCUCACUGGUCCGGUACUGACGCUGAGGUGCGAAAGCGUGGGGAGCAAACAGG
rnacentral:rRNA from 1 species